AACGAACGCUGGCGGCGUGCUUAACACAUGCAAGUCGAACGUGAAGGGGGGCUUGCCCCCUGGAAAGUGGCGCACGGGUGAGUAACGCGUGGAUAACCUACCCUGGUAUCUGGGAUAACAUCUCGAAAGGGGUGCUAAUACCGGAUAAGCCCACGGGCUCUUCGGAGUUUGCGGGAAAAGGUGGCCUCUGAAUAUGCUACUGUAUCAGGAUGGGUCCGCGUACCAUUAGCUAGUUGGUAGGGUAAAGGCCUACCAAGGCUACGAUGGUUAGCUGGUCUGAGAGGCUGAUCAGCCACACUGGAACUGAGACACGGUCCAGACUCCUACGGGAGGCAGCAGUGGGGAAUUUUGCGCAAUGGGGGAAACCCUGACGCAGCAACGCCGCGUGAGUGAUGAAGGCUUUCGGGUCGUAAAGCUCUGUCAGUGGGGAAGAAAUGUAUUGUGGUUAAUACCCGCGAUACUUGACGGUACCCACAAAGGAAGCACCGGCUAACUCCGUGCCAGCCGCCGCGGUAAUAC
rnacentral:rRNA from 1 species